rnacentral:rRNA from 1 species
UCCGUAGGUGAACCUGCGGGGGGAUCAUUACAGAGUUCAUGCCCUUUGGGUAGAUCUCCCACCCUGUGUCUAUAUACCUUUGGUUGCUUUGGCAAGCCUGCUAGACUCUGGUCUGGCCACUGGUCUUGACUGGUGAGCGCUUGCCAGAGGACCCCAAAACUCUGAAUGUCAAUGUCGUCUUAGUACUAUAUAAUAGUUAAAACUUUCAACAACGGAUCUCUUGGUUCUGGCAUCGAUGAAGAACGCAGCGAAAUGCGAUAAGUAAUGUGAAUUGCAGAAUUCAGUGAAUCAUCGAAUUUUUGAACGCAUAUUGCGCUCCUUGGUAUUCCGAGGAGCAUGCCUGUUCGAGCGUUAUUACAAUCCUCAAGCCGUGCUUGGUGUUGGGCGUCACUGGCGACAGUGUGCCUUAAAGUCAGUGGCGGUGCUAUUUGGCCCUGAGCGUAUUAAAUUUCUCGCUAUGGGAGCCCGGUAGAUGCCUGCCCUACCCAAAAUUCAAAAGAUUGACCUCGGAUCAGGUAAGGAUNCCCGCUGAACUUAAGCAUAUC